GACGAACGCUGGCGGCGUGCUUAACACAUGCAAGUCGAACGGAAAGGCCCUGCUUUUUGCGGGGUCUCGAGUGGCGAAAGGGUGGGUAACACGUGAGUAACCUGCCCUUGACUUUGUGGUAACUUCAGGAAACUGGGGCUAAUACCGGGUAGGAGUUGCUGCUGCAUGUGGGGGGUUGGAGAGUUUGGGGGGUUGGGGCUGGACUGGGGGGUUAUGAGCUUGUUGGGGGGGUAGUGGCUUAACACGGCUUGGACGGGUAGCCGGCCUGAGAGGGUGAGCGGCCAGGUUGGGACUGCGAUACGGCCCAGACUCCUACGGGAGGCAGCAGUGGGGAAUAUUGCACAAUGGGCGGACGCCUGAUGCAGCAACGCCGCGUGCGGGAUGAAGGCCUUCGGGUUGUAAACCGCUUUCGCCUGUGACGAAGCGUGAGUGACGGUAAUGGGUAAAGAAGCACCGGCUAACUACGUG
rnacentral:rRNA from 1 species